rnacentral:rRNA from 1 species
GGUUAAGCGACUAAGCGUACACGGUGGAUGCCCUGGCAGUCAGAGGCGAUGAAGGACGUGCUAAUCUGCGAAAAGCGUCGGUAAGGUGAUAUGAACCGUUAUAGCCGGCGAUGUCCGAAUGGGGAAACCCAGUGCAAUUCGUUGCACUAUCGUUAACUGAAUACAUAGGUUAACGAGGCGAACCGGGGGAACUGAAACAUCUAAGUACCCCGAGGAAAAGAAAUCAACCGAGAUUCCCCCAGUAGCGGCGAGCGAACGGGGAGCAGCCCAGAGUCUGAAUCAGCUUGUGUGUUAGUGGAACGGUCUGGAAAGUCCGACGGUACAGGGUGAUAGUCCCGUACACCAAAAUGCACAGGUUGUGAACUCGAAGAGUAGGGCGGGACACGUGGUAUCCUGUCUGAAUAUGGGGGGACCAUCCUCCAAGGCUAAAUACUCCUGACUGACCGAUAGUGAACCAGUACCGUGAGGGAAAGGCGAAAAGAACCCCGGCGAGGGGAGUGAAAAAGAACCUGAAACCGUGUACGUACAAGCAGUGGGAGCACCUUCGGGUGUGACUGCGUACCUUUUGUAUAAUGGGUCAGCGACUUAUAUUCUGUAGCAAGGUUAACCGUAUAGGGGAGCCGCAGGGAAACCGAGUCUUAACUGGGCGUUAAGUUGCAGGGUAUAGACCCGAAACCCGGUGAUCUAGCCAUGGGCAGGUUGAAGGUUGGGUAACACUAACUGGAGGACCGAACCGACUAAUGUUGAAAAAUUAGCGGAUGACUUGUGGCUGGGGGUGAAAGGCCAAUCAAACCGGGAGAUAGCUGGUUCUCCCCGAAAGCUAUUUAGGUAGCGCCUCGUGAAUUCAUCUUCGGGGGUAGAGCACUGUUUCGGCUAGGGGGUCAUCCCGACUUACCAACCCGAUGCAAACUACGAAUACCGAAGAAUGUUAUCACGGGAGACACACGGCGGGUGCUAACGUCCGUCGUGAAGAGGGAAACAACCCAGACCGCCAGCUAAGGUCCCAAAGUCAUGGUUAAGUGGGAAACGAUGUGGGAAGGCACAGACAGCCAGGAUGUUGGCUUAGAAGCAGCCAUCAUUUAAAGAAAGCGUAAUAGCUCACUGGUCGAGUCGGCCUGCGCGGAAGAUGUAACGGGGCUAAACCAUGCACCGAAGCUGCGGCAGCGACACUAUGUGUUGUUGGGUAGGGGAGCGUUCUGUAAGCCUGCGAAGGUGUGCUGUGAGGCAUGCUGGAGGUAUCAGAAGUGCGAAUGCUGACAUAAGUAACGAUAAAGCGGGUGAAAAGCCCGCUCGCCGGAAGACCAAGGGUUCCUGUCCAACGUUAAUCGGGGCAGGGUGAGUCGACCCCUAAGGCGAGGCCGAAAGGCGUAGUCGAUGGGAAACAGGUUAAUAUUCCUGUACUUGGUGUUACUGCGAAGGGGGGACGGAGAAGGCUAUGUUAGCCGGGCGACGGUUGUCCCGGUUUAAGCAUGUAGGCUGGUUGUCCAGGCAAAUCCGGAUAAUCAAGGCUGAGGUGUGAUGACGAGGCACUACGGUGCUGAAGUAACAAAUGCCCUGCUUCCAGGAAAAGCCUCUAAGCAUCAGGUAACAUCAAAUCGUACCCCAAACCGACACAGGUGGUCAGGUAGAGAAUACCAAGGCGCUUGAGAGAACUCGGGUGAAGGAACUAGGCAAAAUGGUGCCGUAACUUCGGGAGAAGGCACGCUGGUGUGUAGGUGAAGUCCCUGCGGAUGGAGCUGAGACCAGUCGAAGAUACCAGCUGGCUGCAACUGUUUAUUAAAAACACAGCACUGUGCAAACACGAAAGUGGACGUAUACGGUGUGACGCCUGCCCGGUGCCGGAAGGUUAAUUGAUGGGGUUAUCCGUAAGGAGAAGCUCUUGAUCGAAGCCCCGGUAAACGGCGGCCGUAACUAUAACGGUCCUAAGGUAGCGAAAUUCCUUGUCGGGUAAGUUCCGACCUGCACGAAUGGCGUAAUGAUGGCCAGGCUGUCUCCACCCGAGACUCAGUGAAAUUGAACUCGCUGUGAAGAUGCAGUGUACCCGCGGCAAGACGGAAAGACCCCGUGAACCUUUACUAUAGCUUGACACUGAACAUUGAGCCUUGAUGUGUAGGAUAGGUGGGAGGCUUUGAAGCGUGGACGCCAGUCUGCGUGGAGCCAACCUUGAAAUACCACCCUUUAAUGUUUGAUGUUCUAACGUUGGCCCCUGACCGGGGUUGCGGACAGUGUCUGGUGGGUAGUUUGACUGGGGCGGUCUCCUCCCAAAGCGUAACGGAGGAGCACGAAGGUUAGCUAAUCCUGGUCGGACAUCAGGAGGUUAGUGCAAUGGCAUAAGCUAGCUUGACUGCGAGCGUGACGGCGCGAGCAGGUGCGAAAGCAGGUCAUAGUGAUCCGGUGGUUCUGAAUGGAAGGGCCAUCGCUCAACGGAUAAAAGGUACUCCGGGGAUAACAGGCUGAUACCGCCCAAGAGUUCAUAUCGACGGCGGUGUUUGGCACCUCGAUGUCGGCUCAUCACAUCCUGGGGCUGAAGUAGGUCCCAAGGGUAUGGCUGUUCGCCAUUUAAAGUGGUACGCGAGCUGGGUUUAGAACGUCGUGAGACAGUUCGGUCCCUAUCUGCCGUGGGCGCUGGAGAAUUGAGGGGGGCUGCUCCUAGUACGAGAGGACCGGAGUGGACGCAUCACUGGUGUUCGGGUUGUCAUGCCAAUGGCACUGCCCGGUAGCUAAAUGCGGAAGAGAUAAGUGCUGAAAGCAUCUAAGCACGAAACUUGCCCCGAGAUGAGUUCUCCCUGAGACUUUAAGUCUCCUGAAGGAACGUUAAAGACGAUGACGUUGAUAGGCCGGGUGUGUAAGCGCAGCGAUGCGUUGAGCUAACCGGUACUAAUGAACCGUGAGGCUUAACCUU